ensembl:misc_RNA Metazoa_SRP Metazoan signal recognition particle RNA
GCUGGGUAUGGCGGUGCAUGCCUGUAGUCCCAGCUACUUGGGAGGCUGAGGAGGGAGGAUCACUUGAGCCCAGGAGUCCAAGGGUACAAUCAGCUAUGAUCGUACCAUGGCACUCCAGCCUGGGCAACAUAGAGACACCCAUCUCUU